rnacentral:tRNA from 1 species
GUUUUAAUAGUUUAAUUAAAAACAUUGGUCUUGUAAAUCAAAAAUAAGGCUUAACUUUUAAAACU